rnacentral:rRNA from 1 species
UACGUAGGGUGCGAGCGUUAAUCGGAAUUACUGGGCGUAAAGCGUGCGCAGGCGGUGAUGUAAGACCGAUGUGAAAUCCCCGGGCUUAACCUGGGAACUGCAUUGGUGACUGCAUUGCUGGAGUAUGGCAGAGGGGGGGUGGAAUUCCACGUGUAGCAGUGAAAUGCGUAGAGAUGUGGAGGAACACCGAUGGCGAAGGCAGCCCCCCUGGGCCAAUACUGACGCUCAUGCACGAAAGCGUGGGGAGCAAACAGG